rnacentral:rRNA from 1 species
GGGUUGUGAGGUUAAGCGACUAAGCGUACACGGUGGAUGCCUAGGCAGUCAGAGGCGAUGAAGGGCGUGCUAAUCUGCGAAAAGCGUCGGUAAGCUGAUAUGAAGCGUUAUAACCGACGAUACCCGAAUGGGGAAACCCAGUGCAAUACGUUGCACUAUCGUUAGAUGAAUACAUAGUCUAACGAGGCGAACCGGGGGAACUGAAACAUCUAAGUACCCCGAGGAAAAGAAAUCAACCGAGAUUCCCCCAGUAGCGGCGAGCGAACGGGGAGGAGCCCAGAGUCUGAAUCAGUUUGUGUGUUAGUGGAAGCGUCUGGAAAGUCGCACGGUACAGGGUGAUAGUCCCGUACACCAAAAUGCACAGGCUGUGAACUCGAUGAGUAGGGCGGGACACGUGACAUCCUGUCUGAAUAUGGGGGGACCAUCCUCCAAGGCUAAAUACUCCUGACUGACCGAUAGUGAACCAGUACCGUGAGGGAAAGGCGAAAAGAACCCCGGCGAGGGGAGUGAAAUAGAACCUGAAACCGUGUACGUACAAGCAGUGGGAGCACCUUCGUGGUGUGACUGCGUACCUUUUGUAUAAUGGGUCAGCGACUUAUAUUUUGUAGCAAGGUUAACCGAAUAGGGGAGCCGUAGGGAAACCGAGUCUUAACUGGGCGUCUAGUUGCAAGGUAUAGACCCGAAACCCGGUGAUCUAGCCAUGGGCAGGUUGAAGGUUGGGUAACACUAACUGGAGGACCGAACCGACUAAUGUUGAAAAAUUAGCGGAUGACUUGUGGCUGGGGGUGAAAGGCCAAUCAAACCGGGAGAUAGCUGGUUCUCCCCGAAAGCUAUUUAGGUAGCGCCUCGUGAACUCAUCUUCGGGGGUAGAGCACUGUUUCGGCUAGGGGGCCAUCCCGGCUUACCAAACCGAUGCAAACUCCGAAUACCGAAGAAUGUUAUCACGGGAGACACACGGCGGGUGCUAACGUCCGUCGUGAAGAGGGAAACAACCCAGACCGCCAGCUAAGGUCCCAAAGUCAUGGUUAAGUGGGAAACGAUGUGGGAAGGCACAGACAGCCAGGAUGUUGGCUUAGAAGCAGCCAUCAUUUAAAGAAAGCGUAAUAGCUCACUGGUCGAGUCGGCCUGCGCGGAAGAUGUAACGGGGCUAAACCAUGCACCGAAGCUGCGGCAGCGACACUUAGGUGUUGUUGGGUAGGGGAGCGUUCUGUAAGCCGUUGAAGGUGACCUGUGAGGGUUGCUGGAGGUAUCAGAAGUGCGAAUGCUGACAUAAGUAACGAUAAUGCGGGUGAAAAACCCGCACGCCGGAAGACCAAGGGUUCCUGUCCAACGUUAAUCGGGGCAGGGUGAGUCGACCCCUAAGGCGAGGCUGAAAAGCGUAGUCGAUGGGAAACAGGUUAAUAUUCCUGUACUUGGUGUUACUGCGAAGGGGGGACGGAGAAGGCUAGGCUGGCCGGGCGACGGUUGUCCCGGUUUAAGCGUGUAGGGGGAGUGACCAGGUAAAUCCGGUUGCUUAUCAACCCUGAGGCGUGAUGACGAUGCACUACGGUGCAGAAGCAGUUGAUGCCAUGCUUCCAGGAAAAGCCUCUAAGCAUCAGGUAACAUUAAAUCGUACCCCAAACCGACACAGGUGGUCAGGUAGAGAAUACUCAGGCGCUUGAGAGAACUCGGGUGAAGGAACUAGGCAAAAUGGUGCCGUAACUUCGGGAGAAGGCACGCUGGCGUUAGGUGAAAGGACUUGCUCCUGGAGCUGAAGCCAGUCGCAGAUACCAGCUGGCUGCAACUGUUUAAUAAAAACACAGCACUGUGCAAACACGAAAGUGGACGUAUACGGUGUGACGCCUGCCCGGUGCUGGAAGGUUAAUUGAUGGGGUCAGCCGCAAGGCGAAGCUCUUGAUCGAAGCCCCAGUAAACGGCGGCCGUAACUAUAACGGUCCUAAGGUAGCGAAAUUCCUUGUCGGGUAAGUUCCGACCUGCACGAAUGGCGUAAUGAUGGCCAGGCUGUCUCCACCCGAGACUCAGUGAAAUUGAACUCGCUGUGAAGAUGCAGUGUACCCGCGGCAAGACGGAAAGACCCCGUGAACCUUUACUAUAGCUUGACACUGAACAUUGAGCUUUGAUGUGUAGGAUAGGUGGGAGGCCUUGAAGUGUGGACGCCAGUCUGCAUGGAGCCAACCUUGAAAUACCACCCUUUAAUGUUUGAUGUUCUAACUCGGCCCCAUAAUCUGGGGUGAGGACAGUGUCUGGUGGGUAGUUUGACUGGGGCGGUCUCCUCCCAAAGAGUAACGGAGGAGCACGAAGGUUAGCUAAUCACGGUCGGACAUCGUGAGGUUAGUGCAAAGGCAUAAGCUAGCUUGACUGCGAGAGUGACGGCUCGAGCAGGUACGAAAGUAGGUCUUAGUGAUCCGGUGGUUCUGAAUGGAAGGGCCAUCGCUCAACGGAUAAAAGGUACUCCGGGGAUAACAGGCUGAUACCGCCCAAGAGUUCAUAUCGACGGCGGUGUUUGGCACCUCGAUGUCGGCUCAUCACAUCCUGGGGCUGAAGUAGGUCCCAAGGGUAUGGCUGUUCGCCAUUUAAAGUGGUACGCGAGCUGGGUUUAGAACGUCGUGAGACAGUUCGGUCCCUAUCUGCCGUGGGCGUUGGAAGAUUGAGAGGGGCUGCUCCUAGUACGAGAGGACCGGAGUGGACGAAUCACUGGUGUUCGGGUUGUCAUGCCAAUGGCAUUGCCCGGUAGCUAAAUUCGGAAGAGAUAACCGCUGAAAGCAUCUAAGCGGGAAACUUGCCUCGAGAUGAGUCUUCCCUGGGGCUUAAAGCCCCCUGAAGGAACGUUAAAGACUAUGACGUUGAUAGGCUGGGUGUGUAAGUGCAGCGAUGUAUUGAGCUAACCAGUACUAAUGAUCCGUGAGGCUUAACCUUACAACACCAAAGGUGUUUUG